CUCUACAUCCACUUUCUACAUUAUGACCUCACCUCCAAGUGACCACCUGCUUUUUCCAAUCCCCUCUUAAGAAUGUUCUUCCUGGAAUGGAAUAUGACUUCUUAAGUGUGGUUUGGCCAAAAGAGACUAUGUAUCUGUCACGGCGGUUUUCUUCUUGUAAUAGACAUUAAGAUCCUUUAAGAAUCCCUGGCCUUUGUUGAACUCAGUGCUCUGGUUUUGUUGGCCCAAGGAGAUACCAAGAGGCAUCAUAUUGGACUGAGUUUGAGGUUGAGAUGGCCAACAAAGUCUUGGAAAUGCCUAUAUAGAAAAGCUAAAAAAGGAAUCAAGAAUGAAGACCUGGGAUCACAGAGGGCUAGAUUGAUCCAUUAGAAGAAGAUUGUGGGGAGAACUUUGGAGAAAGGCAAAACCAGAGCAGUACAGUUUCUGGCUAGGUGACCCACCACUUUCAAGAGGAAAACAACACAACACGACACAACACACAAACGUCCGCUUCCACCUCUCACAAGCAGACGUUGCUUCAUGGAGACCCUGUUGUUUUCAACAGACCACGCUGUGCUGGAGAUGAACUUUCUGUUAUUUGAAUGAAAAUCUUGGUACUUGAAGAGAUCAAGAAAAUGGAAAUACAAGCAUAGCCACAUUGUAUAGGCAAGGAGAAGACUUCACUCAGGUCUCCAAAACGAAUCAUAGGCUCAUCCUUCUUGAGGAAGCAGAAGUAGAGACUCCCACAUCGAGAGCUUGGUGAUGAACGAGCACAGCCCAGAAGUGCACGUCUCAAGUCUGGUAGCUCGUAAGCUGUCUAGGCAGUCAGUAAUGCCUAGGAAGAAGUCUAUCCACUGGCCAUAGAAGACUUUCUGGAGGGGAGGUGGAAGAGUCACGUGGGCAGCCGCUCAACCUGUAGACUGGAGGUUACAGACAAGUCACAGAGCUGGACUCAGCGGAAAUGCUGAAACUGGAGCGUUUGAAUCCUCGGGUGCUCAGACUCUGACCCCGCCCUUAUGUCACGCAAGGGGCAGAAAGGCAUUCAUUACAUUUGUCUUCUCAUUGCCAUGACAGGAACACUUGUCUUCUCAUUGCCAUGACAGGAACACUUGACAGAAGUGACUUAAAGGGAUGGCAAUUUUAGCAAAUGGCUUCAGGGGAAGUCGCCCAUCAUGGAGGGAAGAGGGGACUCCUUCCUGGUCAGUGGGAGCAUGACGGCGGCUGAUCUGGGAGCAGAGAGCUGGACCAGAACUUGAAAUGAAGUCUAAAUGGUUUAUGGGUUCCCAAAAGACCAUCACUGGGUGGGGACAUGGACGUCUUUGGGCACCAUUCUGAUUUAAGUCACAACAGAUAGGAUGGUUGGAAUGAACAGAGCUCUGAACCUUGGCCCCUGUGUAAACCUAAAAAGUCGGAGUUUUUUUGGGGAUGACAUUAAGUGAAGGACAGCUGCCAUCUUCUGUCAUCCUCUGUCCAUGCCAGUCAGGAGCAACAUAACUGUAGGACAGACCACUACUCUCUUUGCAGUGACAGCAGAGCAACUUCCCCCAAACGUACGCUUACCCCAAUAUUUGUGGUAAGAGAACAAAUGGAGCCCCACGGGCUAGAGUGUAAAUGUUGAAUGCAUCGUUAAAUAAAAUAUGCCCUGGCCACUUA